UCAAUUACUAUUCGUCUCGUACUUUCCGAUGGUCUAGGUCGAAAAAUCUUACAGCCCAGGUGUUAAAAACUGAAAAACCUCAUGAUAAUUGGUAUACUUUCAAUAUUAUCAAAAUUUUUGGACCUUAUGGUCAAAAUGAUAUUGGACUACUUCAUCAGAUGAUCAAUUAAAAA
rnacentral:lncRNA from 1 species